AACGAACGCUGGCGGCAGGCUUAACACAUGCAAGUCGAACGCAUCCUUCGGGGUGAGUGGCAGACGGGUGAGAAACGCGUGGGAACGUGCCCUUCAGUUCGGGAUAACCCAGGGAAACUUGGGCUAAUACCGGAUACGUGCGAGAGCAGAAAGAUUUAUCGCUGAAGGAUCGGCCCGCGUCUGAUUAGCUAGUUGGUGGGGUAAUGGCCCACCAAGGCGACGGUCAGUAGCUGGUCUGAGAGGAUGAUCAGCCACAUUGGGACUGAGACACGGCCCAAACUCCUACGGGAGGCAGCAGUGGGGAAUAUUGGACAAUGGGCGCAAGCCUGAUCCAGCCAUGCCGCGUGAGUGAUGAAGGCCUUAGGGUUGUAAAGCUCUUUCGUCCGGGACGAUAAUGACGGUACCGGAAGAAGAAGCCCCGGCUAACUUCGUGCCAGCAGCCGCAGUAA
rnacentral:rRNA from 1 species